rnacentral:lncRNA from 1 species
CGCACUGUUUCCUCGUCCCGUUCCUCCUUCCAACCUAGAUGCUCAUCCGUGCUGUCGUUAUUUGCAGCCCUCAAGGUUAGUCGUGCCCGCUUUUUUCCUUUUUUCUGAUUCAUUUUCUUUCUUCCAUUAUCCUUUGCUUCUCCUUCUCCUGGACUCAUUUCAUCCCAUCGUGCGCGCUAAGCGACCAAUCAACAGAUUUUUUUUAAUAUUACAUUAUUGUGUGUAGUUUUUGCUCAAUUAAUUUAGGGAUAAUUAAGAAUGUUAAUGGUGCCUCUCAAAGCUCUAGAUUUGGUCCCUUAACCCUAAAACCAAUAGAAUUUGGUACCGAACUUAUGGGACCGAAUAAGUUUAGUCCUUCUCCAUUGCCUCAUUUUUAGUAGAUUUUUGUCAGCCGUGACAUGGCUUUGACGUACUUGAUUAGUUAUACCAACGUGGCAGCUCUUGGCUGGAUGCCACGUUAGCAUCUGACUUCACAACCUAAUCUGAAGCCCUCUUUUUUUACCUAG